GUCUAGUGGUGGAUAGUGAGGUGUUGACUGUAUGUCUAGUGGUGGAUAGUGAGGUGUUGACUGUAGGUCUAGUGGUGGAUAGUGAGGUGUUGACUGUAUGUCUAGUGGUGGAUAGUGAGGUGUGGACUGUAGGUCUAGUGAUGGAUAGUGAGGUGUGGACUGUAGGUGUAGUGGUGGAUAGUGAGGUAUUGACUGUAUGUCUAGUGGUGGAUUGUGAUGUGUUGACUGUAGGUCUAGUGAUGGAUAGUGAGGUGUGGACUGUAGGUCUAGUGAUGGAUAGUGAGGUGUGGACUGUAGGUCUAGUGGUGGAUAGUGAGGUGUGGACUGUAGGUCUAGUGGUGGAUAGUGAGGUGUGGACUGUGGUGUAGUGGUGGAUAGUGAGGUAUUGACUGUAUGUCUAGUGGUGGAUAGUGAGGUGUGGACUGUAGGUCUAGUGGUGGAUAGUGAGGUGUGGAC
ensembl:lncRNA